UACGGAGGGGGCUAGCGUUGUUCGGAAUUACUGGGCGUAAAGCGCACGUAGGCGGACUGGAAAGUCAGGGGUGAAAUCCCGGGGCUCAACCCCGGAACUGCCUUUGAAACUCCCAGUCUUGAGGUCGAGAGAGGUGAGUGGAAUUCCGAGUGUAGAGGUGAAAUUCGUAGAUAUUCGGAGGAACACCAGUGGCGAAGGGGGCUCACGGGCUCGAUACUGACUUUGAGGUGCGAAAGCGUGGGGAGCAAACAGG
rnacentral:rRNA from 1 species